rnacentral:misc_RNA from 1 species
GAUGAAGAACGUAGCGAAAUGCGAUACGUAAUGUGAAUUGCAAAUUCAGUGAAUCAUCGAAUCUUUGAACGCACAUUGCGCCCCUUGGUAUUCCGAGGGGCAUGCCUGUUCGAGCGUCAUUAUAACCCCUCAAGCUCAGCUUGGUGUUGGGGCCUGCUGCACUGGCAGCCCUUAAAAUCAGUGGCGGCGCCAUCUGGCUCUAAGCGUAGUAAUUCUUCUCGCUAUGGAGUCCUGGUGGAUGCUUGCCAUCAACCCCCAAUUUUUCUAUGGUUGACCUCGGAUCAGGUAGGGAUACCCGCUGAACUUAAGCAUAUCAAUAAGCGGAGGA